GUUGUACAUCAUCUUCGGCGAUGUGCAUUUGAAUCAACAAUCAGCACUAUUAAACUUGAUUUAGAAUAUUUGAAUUUUUUAGUGUCGGAAUUUCACGAUAUUUCGGCGUCAUUUGCCUACUAUUCAAGUGGUCUCUAAAUUGAGUAUUCCUGUUGGCUAAUAUUUAGUGAUUGAGACCACUUGAUCGCUAAGCAAAUGAUGUUGAAAAAUUAUAAAAUAUGAGUUUUGUGAAGUUCAAAUAGCAUAGAUUAUGUUAAAUAGUGGCGAGUGUCAUUUUAUAUGUAUG
rnacentral:lncRNA from 1 species